UACGAACUGUGCGAACGUUAUUCGGAAUCACUGGGCUUAAAGGGUGCGUAGGCGGUUCUCUAAGUCAGGUGUGAAAUCUCUCGGCUCAACCGGGAAACUGCGCCUGAUACUGGAGGACUGGAGUGAGGCAGGGGUGUGUGGAACUUCCGGUGGAGCGGUGAAAUGUGUAGAUAUCGGAAGGAACGCCGGCAGCGAAAGCGGCACACUGGGCCUUUUCUGACGCUGAGACACGAAAGCCAGGGGAGCGAACGGG
rnacentral:rRNA from 1 species